ACAUACAGAGACAGUUUGCAUGAGAGUGUUUAUAGAGCUGUGAGUUUAACACUUCAUGACUGAGAGCAGAACAGAACACAAUCUUCAUCAUCACACAAGACACAACAACAAUGAACAACAUCAUCAUCCUCAUCUGGACUCUCUGUAUGUGUAUACAAGGUUUCAGUGGACAGGUGACUGUGACUCAGACUCCCUCUGUUAAAACAGUUCAGAUUGGUGAAUCAGUCACUAUAAACUGUAAAACAAACACAGUAGUGAGCAAUGGCUGUGUUGGUUCAUAUACUUGUAUGGCCUGGUAUCAGCAGAAACCUGGAGAAGCUCCUAAACUCCUGAUUCAUUCAGCAAAUCAAAGAGAGUCAAACACUCCAUCUAGAUUCAGUGGCAGCGGAUCCAGAACUGAUUUCACUCUGACCAUCAGUGGAGUCCAGACUGAAGAUACAGGAGAUUAUUACUGUCAGAGUCUACACUACAUCAGUAGUAGCAUGUGUUCACACAGUGAUGAAGAGUCGUACAAAAACCUCCGUCAGUCAGAGUCACAGUGACUGCACUGAUACAGCUGAGAGACACUGCAGCUGCUGAUGAGAGAAUCACAAACAACACAAUGACACAGCAUAUCAAACAUUUUAGAGACUAAUUAUUUAUAUGAUAAUGUUGUGAAGCAGAGAUAUAAUAGUAGAAACAAGGAGAGAGUAGUCAAAACCAAGCAAUGGUCAAA